rnacentral:lncRNA from 1 species
CAGCUAUGCAAAACUGCGUAACCUAGUUUAUUACCCAAGUCUUGUUUCCUCAGCGAGAUUCCAUGAGUAUUGCAGACUCGCGCCAGUUUCUCAUCCCUGCGGAUAAAUGGCCUUGACACCCUCGCUGGGACCGAGUGCCCUGAAUGUGCUUCUCAACCUCUCAUGCACUGUGCACAGGUGGCAGUUAAUGUCUUCAAGAGAACCAACUCCCCAAAGUCUUCUACAUCCAGACAGAUACUUGCAUUUUCUCUUCUUUAAGGUAA